rnacentral:rRNA from 1 species
AACGUAGGUGGCGAGCGUUAUCCGGAUUUACUGGGCGUAAAGGGUGUGCAGGCGGGCUGUUAAGUGGUGCAUGAAAUCUCCGCGCUUAACGUGGAGAGGCUGUGCCAGACUGGCAGUCUAGAGUACGAGAGAGGGUUGUGGAAUUCCGGGUGUAGUGGUGAAAUGCGUAGAGAUCCGGAGGAACACCAGUGGCGAAGGCGACACGCUGGGCCAUACCUGACGCUAAAGCGCGACAGCAUGGGGAGCAAACGGG